UUAAGCGACUAAGCGUACACGGUGGAUGCCCUGGCAGUCAGAGGCGAUGAAGGACGUGCUAAUCUGCGAUAAGCGUCGGUAAGGUGAUAUGAACCGUUAUAACCGGCGAUUUCCGAAUGGGGAAACCCAGUGUGAUUCGUCACACUAUCAUUAACUGAAUCCAUAGGUUAAUGAGGCGAACCGGGGGAACUGAAACAUCUAAGUACCCCGAGGAAAAGAAAUCAACCGAGAUUCCCCCAGUAGCGGCGAGCGAACGGGGAGCAGCCCAGAGCCUGAAUCAGUGUGUGUGUUAGUGGAAGCGUCUGGAAAGGCGCGCGAUACAGGGUGACAGCCCCGUACACAAAAAUGCACAUGCUGUGAGCUCGAUGAGUAGGGCGGGACACGUGGUAUCCUGUCUGAAUAUGGGGGGACCAUCCUCCAAGGCUAAAUACUCCUGACUGACCGAUAGUGAACCAGUACCGUGAGGGAAAGGCGAAAAGAACCCCGGCGAGGGGAGUGAAAAAGAACCUGAAACCGUGUACGUACAAGCAGUGGGAGCACGCUUAGGCGUGUGACUGCGUACCUUUUGUAUAAUGGGUCAGCGACUUAUAUUCUGUAGCAAGGUUAACCGAAUAGGGGAGCCGAAGGGAAACCGAGUCUUAACUGGGCGUUAAGUUGCAGGGUAUAGACCCGAAACCCGGUGAUCUAGCCAUGGGCAGGUUGAAGGUUGGGUAACACUAACUGGAGGACCGAACCGACUAAUGUUGAAAAAUUAGCGGAUGACUUGUGGCUGGGGGUGAAAGGCCAAUCAAACCGGGAGAUAGCUGGUUCUCCCCGAAAGCUAUUUAGGUAGCGCCUCGUGAAUUCAUCUCCGGGGGUAGAGCACUGUUUCGGCAAGGGGGUCAUCCCGACUUACCAACCCGAUGCAAACUGCGAAUACCGGAGAAUGUUAUCACGGGAGACACACGGCGGGUGCUAACGUCCGUCGUGAAGAGGGAAACAACCCAGACCGCCAGCUAAGGUCCCAAAGUCAUGGUUAAGUGGGAAACGAUGUGGGAAGGCCCAGACAGCCAGGAUGUUGGCUUAGAAGCAGCCAUCAUUUAAAGAAAGCGUAAUAGCUCACUGGUCGAGUCGGCCUGCGCGGAAGAUGUAACGGGGCUAAACCAUGCACCGAAGCUGCGGCAGCGACGCUGAUGCGUUGUUGGGUAGGGGAGCGUUCUGUAAGCCUGUGAAGGUGUACUGUGAGGUAUGCUGGAGGUAUCAGAAGUGCGAAUGCUGACAUAAGUAACGAUAAAGCGGGUGAAAAGCCCGCUCGCCGGAAGACCAAGGGUUCCUGUCCAACGUUAAUCGGGGCAGGGUGAGUCGACCCCUAAGGCGAGGCCGAAAGGCGUAGUCGAUGGGAAACAGGUUAAUAUUCCUGUACUUGGUGUUACUGCGAAGGGGGGACGGAGAAGGCUAUGUUGGCCGGGCGACGGUUGUCCCGGUUUAAGCGUGUAGGCUGGUUUUCCAGGCAAAUCCGGAAAAUCAAGGCUGAGGCGUGAUGACGAGGCACUACGGUGCUGAAGCAACAAAUGCCCUGCUUCCAGGAAAAGCCUCUAAGCAUCAGGUAACAUCAAAUCGUACCCCAAACCGACACAGGUGGUCAGGUAGAGAAUACCAAGGCGCUUGAGAGAACUCGGGUGAAGGAACUAGGCAAAAUGGUGCCGUAACUUCGGGAGAAGGCACGCUGAUAUGUAGGUGAAGCGACUUGCUCGUGGAGCUGAAAUCAGUCGAAGAUACCAGCUGGCUGCAACUGUUUAUUAAAAACACAGCACUGUGCAAACACGAAAGUGGACGUAUACGGUGUGACGCCUGCCCGGUGCCGGAAGGUUAAUUGAUGGGGUCAGCGCAAGCGAAGCUCUUGAUCGAAGCCCCGGUAAACGGCGGCCGUAACUAUAACGGUCCUAAGGUAGCGAAAUUCCUUGUCGGGUAAGUUCCGACCUGCACGAAUGGCGUAAUGAUGGCCAGGCUGUCUCCACCCGAGACUCAGUGAAAUUGAACUCGCUGUGAAGAUGCAGUGUACCCGCGGCAAGACGGAAAGACCCCGUGAACCUUUACUAUAGCUUGACACUGAACAUUGAGCCUUGAUGUGUAGGAUAGGUGGGAGGCUUUGAAGUGUGGACGCCAGUCUGCAUGGAGCCGACCUUGAAAUACCACCCUUUAAUGUUUGAUGUUCUAACGUUGACCCGUAAUCCGGGUUGCGGACAGUGUCUGGUGGGUAGUUUGACUGGGGCGGUCUCCUCCUAAAGAGUAACGGAGGAGCACGAAGGUUGGCUAAUCCUGGUCGGACAUCAGGAGGUUAGUGCAAUGGCAUAAGCCAGCUUGACUGCGAGCGUGACGGCGCGAGCAGGUGCGAAAGCAGGUCAUAGUGAUCCGGUGGUUCUGAAUGGAAGGGCCAUCGCUCAACGGAUAAAAGGUACUCCGGGGAUAACAGGCUGAUACCGCCCAAGAGUUCAUAUCGACGGCGGUGUUUGGCACCUCGAUGUCGGCUCAUCACAUCCUGGGGCUGAAGUAGGUCCCAAGGGUAUGGCUGUUCGCCAUUUAAAGUGGUACGCGAGCUGGGUUUAGAACGUCGUGAGACAGUUCGGUCCCUAUCUGCCGUGGGCGCUGGAGAAUUGAGGGGGGCUGCUCCUAGUACGAGAGGACCGGAGUGGACGCAUCACUGGUGUUCGGGUUGUCAUGCCAAUGGCACUGCCCGGUAGCUAAAUGCGGAAGAGAUAAGUGCUGAAAGCAUCUAAGCACGAAACUUGCCCCGAGAUGAGUUCUCCCUGACUCCUUGAGAGUCCUGAAGGAACGUUGAAGACGACGACGUUGAUAGGCCGGGUGUGUAAGCGCAGCGAUGCGUUGAGCUAACCGGUACUAAUGAACCGUGAGGCUUAACCUU
rnacentral:rRNA from 1 species